rnacentral:rRNA from 1 species
GACGAACGCUGGCGGCGUGCUUAACACAUGCAAGUCGAACGGUAAGGCCCUUCGGGGUACACGAGUGGCGAACGGGUGAGUAACACGUGGGUGAUCUGCCCUGCACUUCGGGAUAAGCCUGGGAAACUGGGUCUAAUACCGGAUAGGACCACUGCCUGCAUGGGUGGUGGUGGAAAGCUUUUGCGGUGUGGGAUGGGCCCGCGGCCUAUCAGCCUGUUGGUGGGGUGAGGGCCUACCAAGGCGACGCCGGGUAGCCGGCCUGAGAGGGUGACCGGCCACACUGGGACUGAGAUACGGCCCAGACUCCUACGGGAGGCAGCAGUGGGGAAUAUUGCACAAUGGGCGCAAGCCUGAUGCAGCGACGCCGCGUGAGGGAUGACGGCCUUCGGGUUGUAAACCUCUUUCAGCACCGACGAAGCGCAAGUGACGGUAGGUGCAGAAGAAGGACCGGCCAACUACGUGCCAGCAGCCGCCGUAA